CCGACGGUGAGGGGCGAAAGCUGGGGGCACGAACCGGAUUAGAUACCCGGGUAGUCCCAGCCGUAAACGAUGCUCGCUAGGUGUCUGGGAUGGUGCGACCGUUUCAGGUGCCGCAGGGAAGCCGUGAAGCGAGCCACCUGGGAAGUACGGCCGCAAGGCUGAAACUUAAAGGAAUUGGCGGGGGAGCACUACUACGGGUGGAGCCUGCGGUUUAAUUGGACUCAACGCCGGAAAACUCACCUGGGGC
rnacentral:rRNA from 1 species